rnacentral:rRNA from 1 species
ACGGGGCCCGCACAAGCGGUGGAUUAUGUGGAUUAAUUCGAUGCAACGCGAAAACCUUACCUACCCUUGACAUGUCCGGAACUUGCCAGAGAUGGCUUGGUGCCCGAAAGGGAAUCGGAACACAGGUGCUGCAUGGCUGUCGUCAGCUCGUGUCGUGAGAUGUUGGGUUAAGUCCCGCAACGAGCGCAACCCUUAUCAUUAGUUGCUACGCAAGGGCACUCUAAUGAGACUGCCGGUGACAAACCGGAGGAAGGUGGGGAUGACGUCAAGUCCUCAUGGCCCUUAUGGGUAGGGCUUCACACGUCAUACAAUGGUCGGUACAGAGGGUUGCCAAGCCGCGAGGCGGAGCCAAUCCCACAAAGCCGAUCGUAGUCCGGAUUGUUCUCUGCAACUCGAGAGCAUGAAGUCGGAAUCGCUAGUAAUCGCAGGUCAGCAUACUGCGGUGAAUACGUUCCCGGGUCUU